AACGAACGCUGGCGGCAUGCCUAACACAUGCAAGUCGAACGAGACCUUCGGGUCUAGUGGCGCACGGGUGCGUAACGCGGGGGAACCUGCCCUUAGGUUCGGAAUAACUCCCCGAAAGGGGUGCUAAUACCGGAUAAUGUCUCCGGACCAAAGUGUUAUCGCCUUUGGAGGGGGCCGCGUUGGCUUAGCUAGUUGGUAGGGUAAAAGCCUACCAAGGCGACGAUCCAUAGCUGGUCUGAGAGGAUGAUCAGCACCACUGGGACAGGGACACGGGCCAAAUUCCUGCGGAGGGGAGCAAGGGGGAUUAUGGAAUGAGGGGCGCAGGCCGAAGCCCGCCGUGCUGGGAAAUGGGUGAGUGCGGAAGGAUUCGACUCUGGUUUUUCCCGGGGGCUAAUGACGGUACCGGGAGAAUAAGCACCGGCUAACUACGUG
rnacentral:rRNA from 1 species